rnacentral:tRNA from 1 species
AUCUAUGGCCGAGUGGUCUAAGGCGUUAGGCUUAAGACCUACUGGACACUAGUCCGCGUGGGUUCGAACCCCACUGGAUG